UGCGGUUUCUAGACACAAUGUAACGGAUACUUUCGAAUGAGAUAAAUGAGAAAUGUUUGGUGCUCAAAUAAGUCUUAGAGAGAGAGCAAAUACUCAUCAAGGC